rnacentral:rRNA from 1 species
GACGUAGGGGGCGAGCGUUGUCCGGAUUUAUUGGGCGUAAAGAGCUCGUAGGCGGUGUGUCGCGUCGGCCGUGAAAACCUGCAGCUUAACUGUGGGCUUGCGGUCGAUACGGGCAUCACUGGAGUUCGGCAGGGGAGACUGGAAUUCCUGGUGUAGCGGUGAAAUGCGUAGAGAUCAGGGGGAACACCCGUGGCGAAGGCGGCCGGCUGGGCCGACCCUGACGCUGAGGCGCGAAGGCGUGGGGAGCGAACGGG